rnacentral:lncRNA from 1 species
UCACAUAUAUAUAUACUCCCAAAAUACUAUUCACAUCAGAUUGUAGCUCAGGUACAGAUAUUUUUCGUCCGCCCUUCUGAACGUCCGAUUGAGCUCAAAUUUGGCAGUCAUGAUCAGUCUAACCUUACUUAACGAAAGAAAUUUUAAUAUUUCAGUUUCGACCCCGUUUGAUCACCGAAAGCUGUACCGAAUUGUAAUCUUUAUCAGAUAACCGUCGGAUUUAAUUUUUCACCUUCCGGGUGUCAGAAUGGCAUGAAACUUUAAAUCUAGCCUCAUAAAAAUAAUCCUAACAUAUUUUCAAAUUUUCGGAAUUUUCUGACACCGUGCAUUUUCUGCUAAAAUAUCAGCCCCGUCUAUCACAGAAAAUUCUCAAUCUUUUAUUUUCACUCCGAUUUCCGCACGAGUCAAUCCCGACAUAUAAUUUACUUGUCUAAAUCCAAUAAAAAUAGUAUCUCACACUAUUUUUAUUUAUAUUCACUAUUAUUAAAAAUCCGGUAUGCUACAC